AUGUUCAGUAUCCAAAAGGAAUCAGCUUGGUGCUUCUUAAGAAAAAAUCUGUAUUGUAAAGGACUCAGCUUUGUCUUUUAUUACAUGAGAAAUGUCUGUUUGAUUGAUGUUCAGGUUUCUUGGCGACAGGGAAGAUAUUAUUUCGCCAUGAAUGAGACAGAUGUAGAGGAACAAAAGAAAGGAAAGUAUGUUCUGAUCCGUGAUGGUGGUGAUGAGGAGGGCAAUGAGUUAGGAGGACUCUUCUAUAAGCCUCUUCCUUGCUUUGGUCUUGGAAUCGGAUGGCUCUCGUUUCUACUUGGGUUCUUCUUCCCGUUUGCGUGGUACUUUGCCACAUUUCUAUACCUCACUAACUAUUACCGUAGGGAUCCACGCGAGAGAUCUGGUCUUGCUGCCUCUGCUAUUGCUGCUUUGAUAUUCACCGUUGCACUGUUGAUCACCGUGCUUGUUCUUGUUUUCUCGGGUCGCUAGAGUUGCUUGUAUAUUCUUUCUGGGGUGGGUUUUUAAAGAAAACAAAUUCAAGACUGUUUCCAGAACAAGUAAAAGUUUUAUAUUUGAUGAUGAAGAGAAUGUGAGGUUUCAAAGAGAAGACUUUGGUACCAUUGUCAUUGAGUUUCUUUGAGCUGGAGAAGUUGUCUUCUUUUGAGAACCAAGAAGACAACAACCAAGACCUGCAACAUUGCUGCUAACCCUGCAAAGACUACUCCAACCGUCUCCCCUUUGUUUAAUCCACCUCUCUUUGGUUCAUCUGGUGAUCCAAACCUCCGUGGCUCAGGAGGCGGUGGAAAGGAUUCUGACCUGGGCUGCGGAGGCUGCUGUUGAGGAGCAGGUGAAGGCAGAGGCACAAUUGUCUCUGCUACUGGAGGUGGUGGAAAAAUGUCUGUCACAUUGACAAGUGGCGGAGGUGCAGAAGGCG